UUGAAAAAAAUUAUACAUGAACAGUUGGGAUAGCUUGCCCUACCAUGAAUUUCCUACAAGAAGUGCUCUUAAAUGCUAAAGUAAACAACAUGUGCAUAUUUUUAAUCAUAUGAGUCUUACAUUACAUUUUGUUUUCUUAUUUAAGCUAGAAAUCACAGUGAAACAUGAAGAGCAGUAAGGUAAGUCAGUGAGCUGAGUAUAUUGUUCCCGAAGUCACAGUCAUCUGAUUUUGUCACUUGAUUGUGGAACUCUAACUAUUUUUUACUAGAACAAGAAAAUAAACAUGAGGGAUUUUUCUCAGUGUCAUAAGUUUACAUUGCAUCAAAUCUGAAAAGCAAACAUUGAAUGAACCAAAGGCCAAAGGUGAGGGAAGUGCCUCAGCUUAUGAGGCAGCUCAGACAACUCCAUGGAAAGGACAGGCCGGUGGAGUUGAAGCAAAAACAUCAACCCACCACGUUCAACUUUUGCUUUGCAGAACCUUUCUACUGCUACAGUCUUAGGUAAACAGGUAGAUUUUUUUUCUUGGGGAAACUGUGUAUUUCAGAACAUAAAUGAGUCAUUUAUGCAAAUGCAGGAAGUGCUUGAAAGCCUGCACAAUGUGUGAUCUGAGAAAGAGGAUUCAGAAUGAACAGACUGCUGUCUGCAGGGCAGUGCAGGGCUCAUGGCAUCAAUCCCACCCCACAGGGACACAGCUCAGUUCCCAGAAUCACCAGGAGCCUGCCUUAUGCCAGGUAUUUUCCUAACUUCUGGAGAGGAGUUUUUCUUCCCUUUACCACAGACACAGCGCGUGGAUUAUAAUCUCCAGAUCAGAAGCUAUUCUUGACUUUUAGAACCAUAAUUGUACCUCUUUCCAUUAUUUCUCCUGGUUUUGUAUUCCCAGAGUGCUUUUGCAUGGGGUGCUCUGCUUUAACCCUCUGGAUGGAAUAACCCACCCCUAAAGAGCUUCAAGCUUAUCCAGAACUCUCCUGCUGGGCUUGCUUCUUUUAAGUAAGAUUAGCAAGUCAAUCAUCAAGUGUCCACCGUGUUUUACUGAUCUCUGCUGUGACACAGGAAGCUCAACCAUGUGUGAUCCCAGGAGAGCCACUGAGAAUGUGAC